AGCUUUGGACAGUUGCGAUAUCGUAACAAAAGAGGUUAUACCGAGGUGCGAUUAAUGCUAAUUGAAAAAAAAACCCUAUUUGAUAGUGUAUCAUGUUUUCUACUAGGAAUUAGAACAGUUUUAUUCUGAUAAUGGUAUU